rnacentral:rRNA from 1 species
UACGUAGGGUGCGAGCGUUGUCCGGAAUUAUUGGGCGUAAAGAGCUCGUAGGCGGUGUGUCACGUCGGCCGUGAAAACCUGGGGCUUAACUCUGGGCGUGCGGUCGAUACGGGCAUCACUAGAGUUCGGCAGGGGAGACUGGAAUUCCUGGUGUAGCGGUGAAAUGCGCAGAUAUCAGGAGGAACACCGGUGGCGAAGGCGGGUCUCUGGGCCGAUACUGACGCUGAGGCACGAAAGCGUGGGGAGCAAACAGG